rnacentral:rRNA from 1 species
AGACCCGAAACCCGGUGAUCUAGCCAUGGGCAGGUUGAAGGUUGGGUAACACUAACUGGAGGACCGAACCGACUAAUGUUGAAAAAUUAGCGGAUGACCUGUGGCUGGGGGUGAAAGGCCAAUCAAACCGGGAGAUAGCUGGUUCUCCCCGAAAGCUAUUUAGGUAGCGCCUCGUGAAUUCAUCUCCGGGGGUAGAGCACUGUUUCGGCUAGGGGGCCAUCCCGGCUUACCAACCCGAUGCAAACUGCGAAUACCGGAGAAUGUUAUCACGGGAGACACACGGCGGGUGCUAACGUCCGUCGUGAAGAGGGAAACAACCCAGACCGCCAGCUAAGGUCCCAAAGUCAUGGUUAAGUGGGAAACGAUGUGGGAAGGCCCAGACAGCCAGGAUGUUGGCUUAGAAGCAGCCAUCAUUUAAAGAAAGCGUAAUAGCUCACUGGUCGAGUCGGCCUGCGCGGAAGAUGUAACGGGGCUAAACCAUGCACCGAAGCUGCGGCAGCGACGCUGAUGCGUUGUUGGGUAGGGGAGCGUUCUGUAAGCCUGCGAAGGUGGCCUGUGAGGGUUGCUGGAGGUAUCAGAAGUGCGAAUGCUGACAUAAGUAACGAUAAAGCGGGUGAAAAGCCCGCUCGCCGGAAGACCAAGGGUUCCUGUCCAACGUUAAUCGGGGCAGGGUGAGUCGACCCCUAAGGCGAGGCCGAAAGGCGUAGUCGAUGGGAAACGGGUUAAUAUUCCCGUACUUGGU